AAGCAAAUUCUCUUAUAUUUGUGAGUUUCAUCCCCAUUUAUGUGAUAACAGAGAACAGGUUACCUUUGUCUGAAGUAUAAAGAAGAAAAAAACACUUUAAGCAAUUUUUCUGGAAAUGAAUAAACGUACAUAAUUUAUAUUUAAGUUAAUUCUUUAAAACACAAAGGGGAAAAGAGUAACUGUCAUAACACAAUGAAAACUCCUAAUUAUGAUGGCUUGGAAUGGAAAAAAUUGGCUAUUGCAUUUGAUUGAUGACUUACAAUAAAAUUUGUAAAAUCAUGUAAUAAAAUGCUGUAUUAUAUUCAAACACACCUUUCUUUUCUCCAUUGAGGAUGUUGAAAUAAUCAGGAUUUCAUUCUCACCUUGAUGCUCAAGACUAAUUCUCUUAAGGUUUUUGUGAGCCAAAGUAAAAGUGAAUGCAGAAUAUGUCCCAUAUAUUUUAUUGGGUUAAAGUUCCUCAAGGAACAAAACUUCUAUCACAGGAAGUGUGGCUUAAUUAAGAUUUUGGUCAGAAUUUCAGCCUUCCAUUCUUGAGAGAAAUAUGCAAAGUAACUGGAGAUUUGUCUUAAAGGUCAAGACUAGAAAUGCAUGGCUCCACAGAUUCACAGUAUUAUAAUGGGUUUUUUCUCAACAAUCAUACACUAACUCAUAUUGUUACUUUUUUGUGCAUUAGAACUUUUUUUCUGUAUUAAGACAUUUACAGAAAAUUGACUAAUAAAGACUUGACCCCCAAAAGAGUAGAAAAUAUUACUGAUAGUUUUGUACUUGAAAAAGUUCAAUUUCUUUCAGUUUCUUUACAAGCUUCAUUUUCUAGUUACUGCUGCAAAAAUAUUUCUCAAUUCUGAAGAAAAAUUCCUUGUUUGGAAAGGCCUCUGAAAGGCUUAUCCCAAAAUUCAAAAGUUCUCAUGCUGUAUAAAUUCCUGUACUGUCAUUAAAAUUUAUGGAACUUCCCAACAAAAAUCAAGACAGGAUCUGGCCACAAAGAUUAAGAAUCCAUAUAUAACUGCUUUAUGUGGUUUCAUAUAAAGCUUAAUAAGUCUGCUGAUUUCAGGACAGGAUGAUGGGUGCUUCUCUGACUGAUUUUAAAUGUCACUCUAGAGAAGAAUUUUAAAGCAGUUAUAGCUCAGUGAAAUGACAUUGCCUGGUGGAUGAAAAUUGGAGGUAAAAAUUGAACAGGACUUUUUUUCCCCUGUGUCUUUUUCAAUGAAAAUAGACAUUUUUAAGACACAAAAGAUACUAUUUAGAUCUUCAGGUUGCCUCAGCAUGGUUGUAUAGCAAUAGAUAACUAGAAAAAAAUGGAUAAACCCCUUUUUAUGUUGAUAAAUGUCAUUUGUGGAGGACUGGUAGUUAAAUAAUGAGCCAAAUGGUUGGAUGAAAUCAAGAGAUCUCUGGUGCUUUAUAGUAAAUGCGGAUUUGUCCAAUUAUAGACAUCAGCAGGCCUUUUUAAUGGUAUUCUCCUUUUAUGUAAACAGAAGUACAGACAAAUACAGGGAGUAUCUGGCAGAUUUUAUAUGUGAUAUUUCUUUCUGAAAUUUCUGUCUCAAUUCUCAGUUGAAGAAUUCAGUAUAGGUUUGAAAUAACCUUUUCCUUCAUUUUAUUAUUAUUUGAGGCUCUGUUCAUUAAUAUUUCCUGAUUUCAUCCAUAGAGUGUUCACAACCCCCAAAAUAACACAGUUGAGUCCUACUACAUUAACCUGUUAAUAUUUCAGAAUUGAAAAAACAUAGUUUAUCGGGGAAAAAAACAUAUUGUGCCAAAAUCCAAAGCCACAAAUAGGAGAAAUGCCCUAAUAUUCUACAAAAUAAAAAUAUUUUCAGGGGAAAGGUAAUAU
ensembl:lncRNA